rnacentral:lncRNA from 1 species
UUAUUUUUUUAUUGGUGUUCAAUUACUAACAUACAGAAUAACACCCAGUGCCCGUCACCCAUUCACUCCCACCCCCCGCCCUCCUCCCCUUCUACCACCCCUAGUUCGUUUCCCAGAGUUAGCAGUCUUUACGUUCUGUCUCCCUUUCUGAUAUUUCCCACACAUUUCUUCCCCCUUCCCUUAUUUUCCCUUUCACUAUUAUUUAUAUUCCCCAAAUGAAUGAGAACAUAUAAUGUUGUCCUUCUCCGACUGACUUACUUCACUUAGCAUAAUACCCUCCAGUUCCAUCCACGUUGAAGCAAAUGGUGGGUAUUUGUCAUUUCUAAUAGCUGAGUAAUAUUCCAUUGUAUACAUAAACCACAUCUUCUUUAUCCAUUCAUCUUUCGUUGGACACCGAGGCUCCUUCCACAGUUUUGCUAUCGUGGCCAUUGCUGCUAGAAACAUCGGGGUGCAGGUGUCCCGGCGUUUCAUUGCAUUUGUAUCUUUGGGGUAAAUCCCCAACAGUGCAAUUGCUGGGUCGUAGGGCAGGUAUAUUUUUAACUGUUUGAGGAACCUCCACACAGUUUUCCAGAGUGGCUGCACCAGUUCACAUUCCCACCAACAGUGUAAGAGGGUUCCCUUUUCUCCGCAUCCUCUCCAACAUUUGUUGUUUCCUGCCUUGUUAAUUUUCCCCAUUCUCACUGGUGUGAGGUGGUAUCUCAUUGUAGUUUUGAUUUGUAUUUCCCUGAUGGCAAGUGAUGCAGAGCAUUUUCUCAUAUGCAUGUUGGCCAUGUCUAUGUCUUCCUCUGUGAGAUUUCUGUUCAUGUCUUUUGCCCAUUUCAUGAUUGGAUUGUUUGUUUCUUUGGUGUUGAGUUUAAUAAGUUCUUUAUAGAUCUUGGAAACUAGCCCUUUAUCUGAUAUGUCAUUUGCAAAUAUCUCUCCCAUUCUGUAGGUUGUCUUUGAGUUUUGUUGACUGUAUCCUUUGCUGUGCAAAAGCUUCUUAUCUUGAUGAAGUCCCAAUAGUUCAUUUUUGCUUUUGUUUCUUUUGCCUUCGUGGAUGUAUCUUGCAAGAAGUUACUAUGGCCGAGUUCAAAAAGGGUGUUGCCUGUGUUCUUCUCUAGGAUUUUGAUGGAAUCUUGUCUCACAUUUAGAUCUUUCAUCCAUUUUGAGUUUAUCUUUGUGUAUGGUGAAAGAGAGUGGUCUAGUUUCAUUCUUCUGCAUGUGGAUGUCCAAUUUUCCCAGCACCAUUUAUUGAAGAGACUGUCUUUCUUCCAAUGGAUAGUCUUUCCUCCUUUAUCGAAUAUUAGUUGCCCAUAAAGUUCAGGGUCCACUUCUGGAUUCUCUAUUCUGUUCCACUGAUCUAUGUGUCUGUUUUUGUGCCAGUACCACACUGUCUUGAUGACCACAGCUUUGUAGUACAACCUGAAAUCUGGCAUUGUGAUGCCCCCAGAUAUGGUUUUCUUUUUUAAAAUUCCCCUGGCUAUUCGGGGUCUUUUCUGAUUCCACACAAAUCUUAAAAUAAUUUGUUCUAACUCUCUGAAGAAAGUCCAUGGUAUUUUGAUAGGGAUUGCAUUAAACGUGUAUAUUGCCCUGGGUAACAUUGACAUUUUCACAAUAUUAAUUCUGCCAAUCCAUGAGCAUGGAAUAUUUUUCCAUCUCUUGUGUCUUCCUCAAUUUCUUUCAGAAGUGUUCUAUAGUUUUGAGGGUAUAGAUCCUUUACAUCUUUGGUGAGGUUUAUUCCUAGGUAUCUUAUGCUUUUGGGUGCAAUUGUAAAUGGGAUUGACUCCUUAAUUUCUCUUUCUUCAGUCUCAUUGUUAGUGUAUAGAAAUGCCACUGACUUCUGGGCAUUGAUUUUGUAUCCUGCCACGCUACCGAAUUGCUGUAUGAGUUCUAGCAAUCUUGGGGUGGAGACUUUUGGGUUUUCUAUGUAGAGUAUCAUGUCAUCGGCGAAGAGGGAGAGUUUGACUUCUUCUUUGCCAAUUUGAAUGCCUUUAAUGUCUUUUUGUUGUCUGAUUGCUGAGGCUAGGACUUCCAGUACUAUGUUGAAUAGCAGUGGUGAGAGUGGACAUCCCUGUCUUGUUCCUGAUCUUAGGGGAAAGGCUCCCAGUGCUUCCCCAUUGAGAAUGAUAUUUGCUGUGGGCUUUUCGUAGAUGGCUUUUAAGAUGUCGAGGAAUGUUCCCUCUAUCCCUACACUCUGAAGAGUUUUGAUCAGGAAUGGAUGCUGUAUUUUGUCAAAUGCUUUCUCUGCAUCCAAUGAGAGGAUCAUAUGGUUCUUGGUUUUUCUCUUGCUGAUAUGAUGAAUCACAUUGAUUGUUUUACGGGUGUUGAACCAGCCUUGUGUCCCAGGGAUAAAUCCUACUUGGUCAUGGUGAAUAAUUUUCUUAAUGUACUGUCGGAUCCUAUUGGCCAGUAUCUUGUUGAGAAUUUUUGCAUCCAUGUUCAUCAGGGAUAUUGGUCUGUAAUUCUCCUUUUUGGCGGGGUCUUUGUCUGGCUUUGGAAUUAAGGUGAUGCUGGCUUCAUAGAACGAAUUUGGAAGUACUCCAUCUCUUUCUAUCUUUCCAAACAGCUUUAGGAGAAUAGGUAUGAUUUCUUCUUUAAACGUUUGAUAAAAUUCUCCUGGGAAGCCAUCUGGCCCUGGACUCUUGUGUCUUGGGAGGUUUUUGAUGACUGCUUCAAUUUCCUCCCUGGUUAUUGGCCUGUUCAGGUUUUCUAUUUCUUCCUGUUCCAGUUUUGGUAGUUUGUGGCUUUCCAGGAAUGCGUCCAUUUCUUCUAGAUUGCCUAAUUUAUUGGCGUAUAGCUGUUCAUAAUAUGUUUUUAAAUCGUUUGUAUUUCCUUGGUGUUGGUAGUGAUCUCUCCUUUCUCAUUCAUGAUUUUAUUAAUUUGAGUCUUCUCUCUCUUCUUUUUAAUAAGGCUGGCUAAUGGUUUAUCUAUCUUAUUAAUUCUUUCAAAGAACCAACUCCUGGUUCUGUUGAUCUGUUCCACAGUUCUUCUGGUCUCGAUUUCGUUGAGUUCUGCU